UCCAGGCUCUAACAUAUGUGCGAGUGUUUUGAAAGGGAAACGAUUGAAGUCAGUCGUACCUGCGGACAAUCAGCUUUUUGAGUGUGAUUAUGUGGAUUGUAAGGAGUUUAAUCACCUUCAUGUUUUACGUAUUCGUGCUUCUUGGGUGUACUUGCCCGUGUGGUAGGUUAACAUCAAUUUUGGUCGUCAUAAAAUGAUUGGAGAAUGUAGCUUUGGUCUCGUAUCGAGUUGUUAUAGACUCUGGUAGAUGUGACGAUUGGGAUUGAGG
rnacentral:rRNA from 1 species